GAUGAACGCUGGCGGCGUGCCUAAUACAUGCAAGUCGAGCGAACAGAUGAGGAGCUUGCUCCUCUGACGUUAGCGGCGGACGGGGGAGUAACACGUGGAUAACCUACCUAUAAGACUGGGAUAACUUCGGGAAACCGGAGCUAAUACCGGAUAAUAUAUUGAACCGCAUGGUUCAAUAGUGAAAGACGGUUUUGCUGUCACUUAUAGAUGGAUCCGCGCCGCAUUAGCUAGUUGGUAAGGUAACGGCUUACCAAGGCAACGAUGCGUAGCCGACCUGAGAGAGUGAUCGGCCACACUGGAACUGGGACACGGUCCAGACUCCUACGGGAGGCAGCAGUAGGGAAUCUUCCGCAAUGGGCGAAAGCCUGACGGAGCAACGCCGCGUGAGUGAUGAAGGUCUUCGGAUCGUAAAACUCUGUUAUUAGGGAAGAACAAAUGUGUAAGUAACUAUGCACGUCUUGACGGUACCUAAUCAGAAAGCCACGGCUAACUACGUG
rnacentral:rRNA from 1 species